CCGAAUGUGAAAAGAAAAAGAUGAGUUUGGAAGCUUUGAAUAUUCGGCACUUUGAAAGCUUAUUUCGGGUAUGUGUUUUACUCAGUUUUUUAUAAUUUUUACGUUUUUGAUAUCGUUGCUUCGAGUACUAGUAAACCCAUGCCUUAAUUUUUGGAUUUAAUGAAGAAUUUGAGAUUUUCCAUUGUUUAUUAUGUGAUGAAAUUGUUGUUUGAUGAUGAUUAAUAAAUCUUUGAUGUUUGAUUUUCAUGUUUAAUUAAGUGAUUUUUUUAUAAAAAUGUGUAUUAAGGACUAAAUUUAGAAAUUUAUAAAUUGAGGGGUCAAAACGUGAAAUAAAUAAAAGAUAUGGGUUGCUAGAGACCUAAGAUAAAUUCGGCCUAACAGGGGUUUGAUGAAAGAGUAAUUUGUGUUAUUUUGAGAUAGGGAUUAAAUUGUAAAAAUGUGAAAUGUUAGGGGAUAAAAUACAAAAUGCCCAAAUAUGUGUCUUUAGAUAAAAUUUAAUGAAAUGUUGAAUAAGUGAGUUAAUUUUGAUAUUAAUUAGAUUGGCAAAAGUGGAAUUCAGAUUUGGAUCGGGGGGAAAAUCAAAGUGGUCGAUUAGUCGUCUCGUUCUGAUUAUCGUUGUCCGAGGUAAGUCCUUAAGUAAUUAAAUUUGAUUUGCUGCGCGCUUAAGAUUAUAUAAAAUGAUAAGUAAUUAUUUGACCUUUACAAGUUCGAUUUGCAAUAAGUAUAUUGUAUUUAGGCUAUAAAGCCGAAUAUGAAAUGGAUGAUUUAUGUAUAUAAUGUGGCCGAAUGACUAUUAAGUGAUGAUGUGAAAGUGUGUAAUAUGUGUAUACAAUUUUAUUGUACUUGUUUGUAUAAAGUCGAAUGUGAAUUGAAUGGUAUAUAUGUGGUGACCGAAUAGCUAUUAUGAAACAAAGUCAAAGAAUGUGAUAUUUGUAUAAUAGAUGAAUUGUGACUAUUGUUCCUACUUGAUCGAGGUUGUGUGUGAAAUAAUUUGUGAAUAUGGCCUAUAGCCAAAUGGUUAUUAAAAGUGAAACUGGGAUAGUGAAAAGAUUAUAUGUUCCUUGUGUAUGAUUAUUGAACCGAAAGUUAAAGGGUAGGUGUACAUUUUGUGCUUAUAUUCGAAUGAAGCAAUUGAAUUGCUAAUGUGAUAUGUUAUGUGAAAUGUGUUUACAUGUGAAUAAAUAUGCAAGACACUAGAAAUGUAUCCGGGCUAAAGUCCCGCAGGCUUUGUGCUGGAAAUGUAUCCGGGCUAAAGUCUCGCAGGCUUCGUGCUGAAAAUGUAUCCGGGCUAAAGUCCCGCAUGCUUCGUGCUGGAAAUGUAUCCGGGCUAAAGUCCCGCAGGCUUCGUGCUGGAAAUGUAUCCGGGCUAAAGUCCCGUAGGUUUUGUGCUGGUAAUAUAAUUUCGGGUUUUAUACCUAGCAGGCCAAGUGCUGAUGAAUUUGAUAAAAGUAUACAAUUACAAGAUCCUACACUAAGUUGACAAAUUGAAAGUGCAUUACAUAUUAAGUUGGCCAGGUAUGUAUCAUGUACUCGUAUGCGAUUUUGAUUUGAAUUAAAUUAUAAAUAUAUAAAGUGAUGCAUCUGUGAAUAAGUGUUAUGACUAUAAAUGUGAUCGUGAUAUAUUCGGUAAAUGUAUGAAGUUAUGUGAAGUGAUUCUAUGUUUAUAUUCAAAUAUAAACACUUGGUAAUUGUGGAAAGGUUUGUGGAAGUAUAUGAUUUUAUAUUUAGGUGAUUACGAUCAUGGAAAAUUAAAUGUGAAUAUGAUAUUGUAUUUUAUUCGUUUCAAUUGAACUAAAGCUGAUAGUGAAGCAUUUUAAUGCCUAUGUUAUAUGAGUUCGAUCUUGAAUGACAUGAUAUACAUGUUUAGAUAAUUUGAAUGCAAGGAAUGUGUGAAAGAGCAAAUUUGUAAUAAAUCUGCUUGGGACAGCAACAGUAGCAUGAUUUUGAAAAAUCAUCAUAAAUUGUGAAAAUUGAAUUAGAAGCUGAAUAAAUUAUGUAAUUAAAGAUUAAUUAGUCUAGUUUCUUAUAAAAGAAACCGUGUAAACAAAAGAAUUGUAGAUAAUGAGAUAUUUGAAGUGGCGUGGGAUAGAGUUAAAAUGACUUUGAAAUCCCCUGUUUUGUAUUUAGAAAAUUAUUGUAAAUUGUACAAUGAUGAUUAUAAGAUAAAAUUUAUAUUAUUAGACUCUUUAAUGAGUCUAGUUUCAAAUUAAAUAAAUGAUAACAUAUUUCGAAUUCUGUAUAAUGAGAAAAUUGAUUCGUAGUGAAGAGUGGUCAGAUUAGUCAAACAGUGAAACAUGGGAAACUUCAAUAAAAAUUUGGUAUUGAUUGGUCAAACCAAAAAUUCUAAAAAUUUUAUGGAUGGGAAAUAUAUGAGCCUAUUUUCAGGGAAAAUUAACGACACUUGAUUUGGAGUUUCUUAGCUCCAGUUAUAAAUAAUUUAGUGACUGCUGCUCAGGAAGACAGCUUGUAGUGAAUUUGUGAUUUUGUUGCAAACAUGGUUAAAACUAGUUAAUAAGAUGCUUUUCGAGUUCUUAUGAUCUUAUUUGUGAUUUCAAUAUUUGGUUUUAAUUGAGUUCAGAUUCAAGUGAGGUGAAUUUGCUAAAAAUGCAUUAUGUUCAUGGAUACUUGGCCAAAAUGGCAAUUAACUAGGAAUGAUUUCUUGAAAAUUUGAAAUAAUCGAUCUAUAAGUAAAUUAAUUGUUUGCAUUGCUUAAAACUUACUAAGCAUUGAAGCUUACUCCUUGUUCUCUUUUCCAUUUCUUAUAGGUUUAUACUUUAGCUCGAGUUGGAAGAGCCGGAGAUAUCAUCACACUAUCGAGUCAUUAUGUGAGUUGAGAAGAUUGUAUAUCAUCAUGGUUUAAGGCAUGUAUAGGAUAGACUAUAGGUAGAAUGAUAUUUCGACUUUGUAUACUUUAUAGCCAUGCGAAGAUGGCUUGCUCAUUUUGUUUAGAGAAGCCUUAUAAUUGAACUAAUAUGUUGAAAUGUUUUAGUUAUAACUUGAUAGUAGUUAAUUUGUUAUUAGAUAUUCGGUUAUGUUUUGAU
rnacentral:lncRNA from 1 species